GACGAACGCUGGCGGCGUGCCUAAUACAUGCAAGUUGAGCGCUGAAGGUUGGUACUUGUACCAACUGGAUGAGCAGCGAACGGGUGAGUAACGCGUGGGGAAUCUGUCUUUGAGCGGGGGACAACAUUUGGAAACGAAUGCUAAUACCGCAUAAAAACUUUAAACACAAGUUUUAAGUUUGAAAGAUGCAAUUGCAUCACUCAAAGAUGAUCCCGCGUUGUAUUAGCUAGUUGGUGAGGUAAAGGCUCACCAAGGCGAUGAUACAUAGCCGACCUGAGAGGGUGAUCGGCCACAUUGGGACUGCGACACGGCCCAAACUCCUACGGGAGGCAGCAGUAGGGAAUCUUCGGCAAUGGACGAAAGUCUGACCGAGCAACGCCGCGUGAGUGAAGAAGGUUUUCGGAUCGUAAAACUCUGUUGGUAGAGAAGAACGUUGGUGAGAGUGGAAAGCUCAUCAAGUGACGGUAACUACCCAGAAAGGGACGGCUAACUACGUG
rnacentral:rRNA from 1 species